AGUGUUUCAUUCUGUUGUACACAGGGUCACUAUGAGUUGGAAGCAACUCGACGGCAUCUAACAACAACAGAUACCAAAAGCAAUACGUGCUAUAUGCUCUUCUGCACCUUGUUGCUUUUACGUGUCCCUACAGAGAAAAUGCUUUCCUCGGUACUUUUCACUUUAUUUCUAACAGCUGAAUUAAGAUACUCAUGUGUAGCGGGAGGUUGGGUAGUGACACUAGUUAAGUAUUCUUUCUCAUGGAACACUUGGCCUUCCCCACACCGUUUUUUUCAAAUUACAGAGGAUGCAGCAAUGAAUAACCCCACAGGUAAGAUGUUUUGUAUGUGUAUUUCUAGUACACCUUGUGGCACAAAUGUCAGCCUAGGGAUGAUUAAUUGGAUAAAUUAUAACAUGGCCAUACAAUAGAAUAAAUACCCUUUUCUCUCUAAAGAGAAUGUCUUGGAUCUCUGUAGCGAUAAUGGAAGUAUCCGGUUCCCAUUUAUAAGUGAGUAAAAUGAGCCGUUGAUCAGUUGAGGGUCUCUUAUUUCAUUUAUAAUGGAAGGAACAUUCUUGUGAAUGUAUUUGUGUAUAUUCUUCCAUAUUUACUCAGUUGCAACCACACAAACACAGAAGCCAGGAAGAAAGGUCUACAAGUAUAAAGGCAAAGUAAUGAUUGUGCUUGCCACAGAGGACAGAUUUUUAGGGGGUCGAUGCCUUCAGAUUUCACAUGAGGUGCUUGUGUGACCUGAUUUUCUGCAUCACCCAUGAAAUAUGUUUGUGUAAUUACAAAAAAUAAAGAGAUUUUUUUAAACAACGUGCUUUAGCAAGAAAUUUUGGUUCACCCAAGAUGUAACACAGUAGAAUCAAACAAAAAAUUCAUUUCUGUAUUUCUCAGUGGAAAAAUAACAGUAUCUGGGUUGAUGGAAUGGAGUGUACACUGCCACCUUUUAACCUUUUCUGUUUACAAAUGGUGGGAUCACAUGCGAGGACAGGUUACCUGGAAAGAACUUUUGUGACUGGUUUAAAAUGAGUUCCUAACUGAUACAUGAAAGACUUAUUAAAGUUCCGAGGGAAAGAAAGAAAACUAAGAAAAGGCUCUCCAAAACUAAGGACAUGGGUAUAUGUGAUAUAUUGAUUUGUGGAAACCUUGUUCAAUUGAGUUAUGAAUGGCAAUCCCAUUCAUACUUACAUCUUGUUGCAGAGGAAACACACUUGAAAGAAAGACAGGAAAAUGAACACUGGCCAAAUACACAGGCAGUGGUGUUAUGGGUGAGCAAAUAAUAUGUGUGUCUACUGGUUUGGGUGUACACGGACAUCAUUUCACCAUCACUCUGGCAAUCCCAAAUGAAGUCAAGUAUAUUUGGGCCUCUUGGUGCAGAGGAAACAGACUAGAAAAGAAAAACAGGACAAAGAACACUGGUCACCUCUAGGCUGUGGUGUUUUGGCUCAGCUGUAUGUGUCAACUGGGUUGGGUGUACUUGGACACCAUUUCACCGUCACUCUGGCCAUCUCAAAUCAAGUAUAUUUGGUCCUUUUGGUGCAGAGGAAACAGACUAGAAAAAAAUGACAGGACAAAGGACACUGGUCACCUCUAGGCUAUGGUGUUUUGGGUGAGCAAAUAAUAUGUGCUGACUGGAUUGAUUGUACAUGGACACCAUUUCACCAUCACUCUGGUGAUCACAAAUCAAGUCAUGUUAUUUGGGUCUCUUGGUACAAAGGAAACAGACUAGAAAAAAAGGACAAGGAUCACUGGUCACCUCUAGGCUGUGGUGUCCUGGGUGAGCAAAUAACGUGUGUCGAGUGGGUUGGGCGUACAUGGACACCAUUUCACAGUCAUUCUGGCAAUCUGAAAUCAAGUCAAGUAUAUUUGAGCCUCUUGGUGCAGAAGAAACAGACUAGAAAAAAAGACAGGACAAAGAAUACUGCUCACCUCUCAGCUUGUUGUUUUGAGUAUAUGGCCUGGACUUUGCAUGUCUAUGCGGAGAAAACGUCCUGCUAAGUACGUUUCGUUUCAUUUCCUUUCUAUCCACUGCUUCGUGUUCCUCGGUGUGGAGAUGGUUAAGGCCACAAAUUAUUUAUCCUGGGCUUUUCAUUUCACUCUGCGUUUAGUAUGUCCUUCCUUCCAUUUUUCCUUCUAUCCAUCAUCUUCCUCCUGUCGCCCCCAUCUCUCUGCCUUUUACUCUCUGUUCCUCUCCCUUUCUUUCUUUAAUAACAUGCUCUGAGGCAGUGCAUUACCUCAUGAUAGUGUGUUUGCAGGUACAUUUUAUAAUAAUUGUCAACCUAGAGAUUUAGUAGUUUGAUGAAGUAUAAUUGGGACUCAUUCUAGAAUAAAUACCUUUAUCCCUGGAAAGACAAUGAGGUUGGUAUCUGUGAGCCAGAAGGGAGAGAUCUUGUUCCCAUUCAUCAGUAUGUCAAAGGAGCAAUCCCUUAAGGGUCUGGUAUUUCAUUUGUGGUGGAUGAAAGAGGCUCGUGACUAUAUUUAUAUAUGUUCCGGCAUAUUCACACGUGCACAGAGACGAGGAGGAAGGGAUAUAAAGGUCAAGGGAAGAUUGUACUUGCCACACAUAAAAUAUUUUGGGGGCAGGUACCUUCAGAUUUCACAGGAGCUGGUUCUGUAAGAUCUGAUUCAUUGAAACACUGUGAAUUGUAUUUGUGUAAUUUCCGAAAGGGGACUGGAGCUGAAAUUCAUAUCACAGUGUAUUUUGAAAUUGUUAUUCUUAUAGCUGAUCUAGUAGCGUUAAAAAAAAAGCAAUAAAUCUCUAUUUUUCUGCUGAGUGAAUAAUAGUGUGUCGGCUGGGUGGCGUGUACACAGCCACCUUUUACCAUCACUCUGGCAAACUGAAAUGGAGUCCUGGGUGUCUGGGCAUCUCAGUGCUGAGGAAACUGGACUGGAAGGAAAGACAGGACAGAGAAUGCUGCUCAUCUCCAGGUGGUGGAGUUAUGGGUGAGUGGUCUUUUUUUCUAUUUCAUUCUCCUUGCAAAACCAGGUUGCACAGAACUGCUGAUUCUAUUAUAUUUAAAAAAAAAACAAACUACAGUAAUUUCUGGUAUUUGAGGAAACCUCAUGAAGGAGAGACUACCAUAAAAUGUCAAACAACUCAGGCCUUGUUAAUUACUGGGGUAGGCCUGAUAAAAGUAACAAACCAUCAGGGAUAGAAAAACAACUUGGGAAAUCCCCUAUGUCAUUUUUCCAAGAACCAAGGGCAAAAGGUCACCCAAGGAAACUGAUUACACCUGAGUUAGAUAGCGCCACAAAUCCAAACAAGCCAUAAGGCAGUGUUAAGAGAGGAAGUCAAGAUACUCAUCCCCACUCAAGCCAUAGUCAACUUCCUGGGAAAGCUAAAAUCCUACCCAAGACAACCUGUAUAUCUACACGUGUGAAUAAAAAUCUGGGUACCUGUUAACAUGGAAUCCUAACCAGGCUUAUAGAAAUAGAUGUAGCAAUAAAUAAAGAUAAACAUGCAUGUAUACAUGCACUCAUAGUUCAUUCCUAUAAAUUAUAUAUACAUAUACAUACAUACAAGAAGCCCUGGUGGUGCAGUGGU